rnacentral:rRNA from 1 species
AGCGAACGCUGGCGGCAUGCCUAACACAUGCAAGUCGCACGGGGGGGCUUCGGCCUCCCAGUGGCGGACGGGUGAGGACCGCGUAGGGACCUGUCGAGGGGUGGGGGAUAACCGCGGGAAACUGCGGCUAAUACCGCAUGACGCCGCGGCGUGACAGCCGGGGCCAAAGGCGAAAGCCGCCCGCCGAGGGGCCUGCGUCCGAUUAGCUGGUUGGCGGGGUAGCGGCCCACCAAGGCGUCGAUCGGUAGCUGGUCUGAGAGGGUGAUCAGCCACACCGGGACUGAGACACGGCCCGGACUCCUACGGGAGGCAGCAGUGGGGAAUAUUGGACAAUGGGCGCAAGCCUGAUCCAGCAAUGCCGCGUGGGUGAAGAAGGUCUUCGGAUUGUAAAGCCCUUUCGGCGGGGACGAUGGUGACGGUACCCGCAGAAGAAGCCCCGGCUAACUUCGUG